AACGAACGCUGGCGGCAUGCCUAACACAUGCAAGUCGAACGAGACCUCCGGGUCUAGUGGCGCACGGGUGCGUAACGCGUGGGAACCUGCCUUUAGGUUCGGAAUACUUCAGAGUAAUUUGAGCUAAUACCGGAUGAUGUCUUCGGACCCAAGAUUUAUCGACGUUAGAUGGGCCCGCGUUGGUUUAGCUUGUGGGUGGGGUAAGGGCCUACCACGGCGAGGCUCCAUAGCUGGGCAGAGAGGCUGGGCAGCCACACUGGGGCGCGGACACGGCCCAGACUCCUACGGGAGGCAGCAGUGGGGAAUAGUGGACAAUGGGCGAAAGCCUGAUCCAGCAAUGCCGCGUGAGUGAUGAAGGCGUUAGGGUAGUAAAGCUCUUUUACCCGAGAUGAUAAUGACGGUAUCGGGAGAAUAAGCUCCGGCUAACUCCGUG
rnacentral:rRNA from 1 species